GGGCUUGUAUUUCAGUGGUAGAAUUUUCGAUUCCAGCCUCUGGAACCUCCGAAAGGUCGUCCGUUCAAAUCGGGCCAAGCUCA